rnacentral:rRNA from 1 species
CCCAGACUCCUACGGGAGGCAGCAGUGAGGAAUAUUGGUCAAUGGGCGCGAGCCUGAACCAGCCAAGUAGCGUGAAGGAUGACUGCCCUACGGGUUGUAAACUUCUUUUAUAAAGGAAUAAAGUGAGGCACGUGUGCCUUUUUGUAUGUACUUUAUGAAUAAGGAUCGGCUAACUCCGUGCCAGCAGCCGCGGUAAUACGGAGGAUCCGAGCGUUAUCCGGAUUUAUUGGGUUUAAAGGGAGCGUAGAUGGGUUGUUAAGUCAGUUGUGAAAGUUUGCGGCUCAACCGUAAAAUUGCAAUUGAUACUGGCAGCCUUGAGUACAGUUGAGGUAGGCGGAAUUCGUGGUGUAGCGGGGAAAUGCGUAGAUAUUAGGAGGAACACCAGUUGCGAAGGCGGCUCUCUGGACUGUAACUGACACUGAGGCACGAAAGCGUGGGGAGCAAACAGGAUUAGAUACCCGAGUAC